GAUGAAGAACGCAGCGAAACGCGAUAAGUAAUGUGAAUUGCAGAAUCCAGUGAAUCAUCGAAUCUUUGAACGCACAUUGCGCCCACCAGCAUUCUGGCGGGCAUGCCUGUUCGAGCGUCAUUUCAACCCUCGACCUCCCCUUGGGGAGGUCGGCGUUGGGGACCGGCAGCACACCGCCGGCCCUGAAAUGGAGUGGCGGCCCGUCCGCGGCGACCUCUGCGCAGUAAUACAGCUCGCACCGGGACCCCGACGCGGCCACGCCGUAAAACACCCAACUUCUGAACGUUGACCUCGAAUCAGGUAGGACUACCCGCUGAACUUAAGCAUAUCAAUAAGCGGAGGA
rnacentral:misc_RNA from 1 species